CCAAACAUGUCGGCUAACCACCCUCCUUUACAA
rnacentral:tRNA from 1 species